CGCCUUGCUCUCGUCCGUGGAGGUUGUGUACAAUAGACGGGAGGAAGAACUGAAGGAAGGAAGGGCCGUUUUGAAGAGUGUUUGUCCUUACCGAUAUAUAGAUGAGGUGUGUUAGCAAGCCAAGAUGAAGUCGACGAUUCAGCGGCUACGUGGACCAUCGACUUGCUUUGCCUCAGACCUGAAUUGACUCCAUAGCAAGGCAUGCUAGACCCCUUGAUGAUGGAGCCCAAACUGAAGAAGAUGAAGCCGGCCUCCCCAGCGCCCUGCACCCACGCCUCCAACUCCUGCCAGCGAAGGUACUGAGAGGGAGAGAAAGAAGAGGAGAAGGAAGAAGAAGAGGAAGAAGAAAAUGAAUGAAUGAGGAGAAAAAGGAGGAUGAGAAAGAAGAGAAAAAGGAAGAGAAAGAGUUAGAAGAGAAAAAAAGAUAAGGAGAAAAAGAAGGAUGAUAAAGAAGAAGAGGAGGAAGAGGAGGAGGAAAAACACGAGAAGAGGAAUAGAAGAAAAAAUGAGGAAAAAGAGGACAAAAAAUGAAUCACACAACCACAGCAACUAGAAGGGAAUUGCAGAGGAGUCCAACACAGCACCCAGGACCUCUACUAUGGAUUUCCGAGGCUGUGUUAUAUAGUUUUUUUUUCUGGAAUAUCUCGGUAAGUGUCUGUUGGAUCACUGUGAUACUUUUCCAGUUUGUUUCACACCCUCCGCUAAUAUUUGUCAGCAUAGUGCAUUGUUAUCAGAGGGUGUGAGUAAGGCACAGAAUCUUGACACUUGAAGGGAAAUAGCGAAAUGAAAGGACAGUAAUCGGACAGGGCCAGCGUGACGUCAUUCCCCAGGCCCCACCCACCCACCACUAUAGCCCAGCUGCAUAUGUGUCUUCUAUUUCUAUUAUUCUCUCUAGCCAGUGUAAAAUUUUCAAGUAUUUCUUUUCAUAUACGGCACACGGUGUUUUCCUAUUUAAUGCCGAAUGUUGCCGUAGUUUAUCAGCAGUAUCAGACUUUACAUCCGCUACGCGGCUAUAUAUCCACGGUAUCUUCUCGGGUGAAGAGAAGAGGGGAGGGUUGCAGUAUUGCCAACUCAAAAUCCUCAAGAAAAUAGAAAACACACACUCAACUCUAUUAAUGGGUUCACUUGAUACCACUUAAGCAUCUUCGAUCCUCUACAACACUGUCUUCUAUAAGUGUUGCAAAUCUCAGCAUCUUAUUGGUCAGUUUAUCAAAGGAUCGAAUCACCUCUUCCUGGAGCUCGUUAGAAGUGAAUAAAUGUUUCGAGAGAGAGAGAGACGACACGCUGGCCCUGUCUGAUUGCUGUCCAUUCAUUUCGCAAUUUCCCUUCAAGUGUCUGUGCCUUCCUCACACCCUCUGAUAAUAAUGCACUGUGCUGAAAAAUAUUAGCGGAGGGUGUGAAACAAACUGUGGCAAAGUAUCAGAGUGAUCCAACAGAUACUUACCAAGAUAUUCCAGAAAAACGAUAUAUAACACAGCCUCGGAAAUCCAUAGCAGAAGGCACAUCACCAACACAGCAGAGUCCAGACAUCGGCCAGCAUCCAGUGUGAGAGUACGUCAGGCUCCAGAAGAGAAUCCAAAUCCACCUUCACAGCAGUAUCCAGAGUCCUUCACCUGUAAAGAGAGAACGCAUAUACAACAGAGGAUCAUACACCGUAGGGUAUUGGACAGCAGGGGAGUGGACCGAGACUACCUACCCACAAGAGGAGAGAGAAGAGGGAACAACACACAACUUGAUAAAAGAAGAAAGGAGAUGGCACUGAAGGAAAGAGAAGGAAGAGCAUAGUGGAAGGAAAGGAAGGGACAUAUAAGGACUAAGAAGCAGCGAGGAUAGCAGUAGGUAUGGUGUGUGUGGAAGCAAGUGUUUGGGAGACAUAGACCAGGUGGGACAAAGGUAUGCCGUCCCUCGCUCAGUCUGUCUCUCCUAAUCACUGUUGCCUCCAUACAGACUGGUACACACACCUACUGCCCUGUCUACUUCUGCUUCUUAUAUGCUUCUUCUUUGUCUCCUUUUCUUUCUUCUCCUCACUCCUUUCCUUUUUCACAAUCAGUGUUCUCGCUCUUCCUCCUCAGUUCUGCUUCCUUCUCUUAUGUAUAGUUGUUUCCUCUUCUGUCUCCUCUCAUUAGGCUCUCAUUGGCUGUCUCACGUCUGUCCGCCUCCCUGGGAAGCCUGAGGAAGAAAUAUUAGAAUAGAACAAAAAUCUCCUCUUGAAUCAAAUGUCUUUACUGGUUACACUAAACUGGAAUUAUGCAGUGAAGAGUCUCAAAAUGUACAUACACUAAAGUAGUAUCCAUAAGAAAAGCUAGAAUUAUGCAGUGAAAUAUCUCAUAAUGUACAUACACUAAAGUAGUAUCCAUAAGAACAGCUGGAAUUAUGCAGUGAAAUAUCUCAUAAUGUACAUACACUAAAGUAGUAUCCAUAAGAAAAGCUGGAAUUAUGCAGUGAAAUAUCUCAUAAUGUACAUAAC